rnacentral:rRNA from 1 species
GAGACCCACGCCAACAGUUGCCAGCUCGUCCUCCGGGAUGGUGGGGACACUGUUGGGACCGCCUCUGCUAAAGAGGAGGAAGGAAUGGGCAACGGUAGGUCAGCAUGCCCCGAAUUAUCCGGGCUACACGCGGGCUACAAUGGUCAGGACAAUGGGUAUCGACACCGAGAGGUGAAGGCAAUCUCUUAAACCUGUCCUUAGUUCGGAUUGUGGGCUGCAACUCGCCCACAUGAAGCUGGAAUCCGUAGUAAUCGCGUCUCAAAAUGGCGCGGUGAAUAU